rnacentral:lncRNA from 1 species
GGCGCCACAAUUGAGCAGGAAAAUUCUCUAAUCAAACCAGCAAAGUCGGUUAACCAGCAGGAGUAGCAGCUUGAAGAUUUCAGCUAAGCGGAAGGAAGGAAGCUCGACGUUUUCUUUUCAAAAAUUCAGUUUGUAAUUCAUGUUGUCUCCAAUUGACUUUGGUUUUGUUUUAUUUGCUAUGAGUGGCUGAAUAAUUAAGCUUAGUUAGACACUUAUGAAACCUAGCACAAGGAAUUUGAAGGUUAUUUAAUUUAAAUUCGGAUUUGGCAUUCUUGAGUUGCUAA